UUAAGUUCAGCGGGUAGUCCUACCUGAUUUGAGAUCAAACGUUCAAAAAGUUGUCCUCACAGAGGAGGGACAUUUGUGAGCUCCAGCGAACCUUCAUCACUGAAGGUUGACUGGUGGAAAACCACGAGCGCAGAUAGUUAUCACACUUGUGAUGCCACCAAACACUGGCAAGCUGAUUUGUUUGAGAGGAGCCGACCACA
rnacentral:misc_RNA from 1 species